AUACGGAGGGUGCGAGCGUUAAUCGGAAUUACUGGGCGUAAAGGGCGCGUAGGCGGUUUUUUAAGUCAGAUGUGAAAGCCCUGGGCUUAACCUGGGAACUGCAUUUGAAACUGGGAGGCUAGAGUUUGGUAGAGGGGAGUGGAAUUUCCGGUGUAGCGGUGAAAUGCGUAGAGAUCGGAAGGAACACCAGUGGCGAAGGCGACUUCCUGGGCCAAUACUGACGCUGAGGUGCGAAAGCGUGGGGAGCAAACAGGAUUAGAAACCCCAGUAGUCC
rnacentral:rRNA from 1 species